rnacentral:rRNA from 1 species
CCUUCGGGCGCUGACGAGUGGCGGACGGGUGAGUAACGCGUAGGAAUCUGCCUGUUAGUGGGGGACAACGUGGGGAAACUCACGCUAAUACCGCAUACGCCCUGAGGGGGAAAGUGGGGGACCGCAAGGCCUCGCGCUAUCAGAUGAGCCUGCGUGGGAUUAGCUAGUUGGUAGGGUAAAGGCCUACCAAGGCGACGAUCCCUAGCUGGUCUGAGAGGACGAUCAGCCACACUGGGACUGAGACACGGCCCAGACUCCUACGGGAGGCAGCAGUGGGGAAUAUUGGACAAUGGGCGCAAGCCUGAUCCAGCAAUACCGCGUGUGUGAAGAAGGCCUGAGGGUUGUAAAGCACUUUUAAUCGGGAGGAACCCCUAUUCGUUAAGAGCGGGUAGACUGACAUUACCGAUAGAAAAAGCACCGGCUAACUCCGUGCCAGCAGCCGCGGUAAUACGGAGGGUGCGAGCGUUAAUCGGAAUUACUGGGCGUAAAGCGUGCGUAGGCGGCGCGUUAAGUCAGAUGUGAAAGCCCCGGGCUUAACCUGGGAACGGCAUUUGAAACUGGCGAGCUAGAGUUGAGGAGAGGGGAGUGGAAUUUCCGGUGUAGCGGUGAAAUGCGUAGAGAUCGGAAGGAACUCCCGUGGCGAAGGCGGCUCCCUGGCCUCAAACUGACGCUGAGGUACGAAAGCGUGGGUAGCAAACAGGAUUAGAUACCCUGGUAGUCCACGCUGUAAACGAUGUCAACUAGCCGUUGGUCCUUUUUAAUAAGGAUAAGUGGCGCAGCUAACGCGAUAAGUUGACCGCCUGGGGAGUACGGCCGCAAGGUUAAAACUCAAAUGAAUUGACGGGGGCCCGCACAAGCGGUGGAGCAUGUGGUUUAAUUCGAUGCAACGCGAAGAACCUUACCACCCCUUGACAUCCAUAGAAUC